rnacentral:rRNA from 1 species
CGUUCACCCGCUAAAUUUAAGCAUAUAAGUCAGCGGAGGAAAAGAAAUCAAUAGAGAUUCCCUAGGUAGCUGCGAGCGACCAGGGACAAGCCCGAGACCGAAUCCCUCUGUGCUACAAGCGCUUUGGGACCUGUAGUCUAAGGGUCGGUUCGCCACGGGGAAGCCCACAGCACACAGGCUGAGAUCCUGGAGCACAGAGCGUUACACACGAUCUGGUGGGUGGAACCUGGGUAUCGGACCGUUCCCGUGAGUAGGUUAGCUUGAAAGUGCUAGCUGAAUAUGGGUGGUGCUGGCCAUCCAAGGCUAAAUACGAAAGCAAGGGACCGAUAGCGAACAAGUACCGUAAGGGAAAGCUGAAAAGCACCUCGUUUGAGGAGCUCAAAGAGCAUGAAAUCCGUCUAAUGCGAAUGGGACAUCCCAGCUCGUCGAAAGGUGUUGGGUAGGGUUCGCCCCUGCCAUAAUGCACUGAGUACGGCACUGCUGUGGUAGAGGGGUCUAAUGGAAACCGACUGUCGGGCGAUCAGGCUUACGGGCUAGACCGUCCAAUGUUGGUGGAAGUAUGACCUUUCGCCAUCUAGGCUUGCACCGACCCGCAAGGGAAGGAACAGGUGUGCUAGAGCAAGGGUUUCCCACCCGUCUUGUAACACGGACCAAGGAGUCUAACGUACAUGCAAGUCAUGCAGCCUUCAAGCUGUACGGCGAAGCUAAUGCAAAAAGCACCAAGGGGUUCCUCGGAGCCCCCGCACUGCUCUCCUAACCGGGCCUUCGGGCUUGGAUUGGAGUUUGAGCAUGUCAUGUUAGGUCCCGAAAAACGACGAGCUAUGCUUGAGUAGACCGAAGCCAGGAGAAAUCUUGGUGGAAGGUCGUAGCAGUACUGACGUGCAAAUCGUUUGUCAAACUUGAGUAUAGGGGCGAAAGACCAAUCGAGUCGUUUAGUAGCUGGUUUCCACCGAAGUUUCCCUCAGGAUAGCAAAGGAGUAUCGAGUUUACGGCGGUAAAGACAAUGAUUAGGAGCACCAGGGGACAUCGUCCCUUGGCUCAUUCUCAAACUUUUAAUGCUGUAUAGACCUUAGGCUGUCGUAAACGCAGCCUUCGGUCGAAUCACAGGUUCCUUUAGUGGGCCACGUUGGUAAGCAAGGAUGGCAAAAAGGGUUCAAACUUGUGCCCGGUUAGGUUCUCGAAUACGCUGGCAAUCACAACCUAAAAGGUAUUGCCCCAUGACGACAGCUGGACAGUGGCCAUGGAAGCCGGCAUCUGCUAAGGAGUGCGUAACAGCUCACCAGCCGAAUGGGGUAGUCCUGAAAAUGGACGAGGUUCAACCAGUGAGACCAUACCGGGCCGAGCACCUAAUAAAGCGGCAAGCGGGAGCAAUCCUGCGCUAUCAUGGGUUAAACGAGUAGGGCGGAUACCCCGGUCGGGUUGAAGCGGGCUGUUGACAGCUCGUGGACUGGCCGGGGCAGCAGAUCUUGGUAGUAGUAGCAAGUAUUCAUAUGCAACACUCUGAAGGCCGAAGUGGAGGAGGGUUCCUCAACAACAGCAGUUGAUUGGGGGUUAGUCGGAAUCUAAGUGCCAAGGGAAACCUAGGUUAACCGGGGUAGUACGCUUUGCGUCGGGCAACUGACAAUAGGCUGGAAACCCCAGGCACGACAGAGAAGCCGGUUAAUAUUCCUGCACUUGACCGGUGAGCAGUGGGCAACCUUAAUGCAAUGUUCGAAGCUGGUGACGCAAUUGGGCUUAGCGAGAGGGAUUUUCCCUCCUUGUUACGACCGUUAUGUGCUCUGGAGAGUAUGCAUUGUGCAGAGAUCCAGGCAUCCUACGGUUAGAGAGUAUGCCAGUUUUUGGUGUAUUCGCUAUUGCCUUUCAUUGCCCUAGAAAAGCCAGUGGUUGAACGAAAAGCGUUGUUCGCCGGUCAAACCGUACCUAAUCCGCAUCAGGUCUCCAAGAUGAGCAGUCUCUGGCGCAUAGAACAAAGUAGCGUAAGGGAAUUCGGCAAGCCAGAUUCGUAACUUCGGGAUAAGGAUUGGCUCUACAGGCUGGGCUUACUGGGCCGUGUAAGACGUGGGAUCAGUCGUCAAGUAAUCAGGAAGCCUUUCGGGGUGGACUGGUGAACGAUGGCCCUCGCGUUGACAAGCGGAUCGGUAGGGUGGUUCGCCACUCGACUGAAAACCGGUAGGCCGCUAACAGCUUACAUAGAACUUAUAAAGGCAAGGGGAAUCCAACUGUAUAAUUAAAACAUAGCGAUUUGUCGAUGCUAAAGCGUGUAAACGAAUCGUGAUUUCUGCCCAGUGCUCUGGAUGUUAAAAUGGCGAAAUCCAACCAAGCUCGGGUAAACGGCGGGAGUAACUAUGACUCUCUUAAG